GUGUUUUAGCCUGACCCAGAUCCUCUCAUGCAAGAGGAAAAGAGAAGCGCCCACCAGCAUACAAAAUGAUAAAUAGGAAGAUUUACGUGCAGCUUAGAAUUUGUGUCGAGGCUCGGAUUGUAACUAGACUCUUUUAAGGUUCUCAACAGAAGCAGACAGCACUUAGCAAGACUUCCAAAAAUUAUAACUGGAUAUGUGAAUAAAAACUUCCUUCUCCCUUUGUGACCUGGGUCAUGAAAGAGUCCACUGAAGUUGAGCUGCCAAAAACCUAAAGACCAGGAGAUGGCAUCAGAACCAUAAGCUCUCCUGAAGAGCCAGAACAAGACACCCAAUUUUUUUGAGGUGAGGACAAUAAAAUGAACUUCCUUUGCUCCAUCUAGAGAACUGACAUUAUUGUAAAAUCAAGGAUCAGAUGCCUAUUAAUCAAAGAGAGCAAUUCAAGUUCCUCUCUCCAUGUAGUGGUUGAAUUCCAUCUAAAGCCCACUUAGCUUCUUUCUUACCUCAAAAAUGGAAAGUCUAGCCACAGUGGAGGCUUUGUCUCCUACAACGCUUCUCAUUGUCCUUUUAAUUGUUCUAUUGUUCUUUUCUUUCUUUUUUUUACUAUUACUUUAAUACACUCAGGUAUCCCUUUGCUUGUACCUCAAAACAUUUUUCUUGAUGUGCACACUUGUUUGCUGCUUUUUAAAUAAGUGAGCAGCUGUCAGUUUAGGUUAUGCCUACACUAGGGUCAAGAGAACAAUUUGGAAUGUGCAGUUUAUACUUUAUACCUGAGCCAGAUGUCACAGGGACUGAACAAAAUGCCAACAUGGAUGAACCCGCAAAUAAACAUGAUCUUCCCACAAAGUUUGUUCUGUUUUUUAUUGUUGGCUGUCCAAAGUCAGGUACUUGGAAUGGGCAACCAGGUAAAUUAAUUAAUCAAUUAAUUGAUUGAUUAAAUUAAUAAAGCCAUGCUUAUGCAACAACCCAUUCGUUUGCCUGGCUAAUACUACCAAUAGGUAGACAUAUUUCUUCCAAGGCAUAAAGGAUCCCCAGUGCAUCCCUCAAGACUCUCUCAUAGGUCCACAAAAUCAAAUUUAUUUU